GACGAACGCUGGCGGCGUGCCUAAUACAUGCAAGUAGAACGCUGAAGGAGGAGCUUGCUUCUCUGGAUGAGUUGCGAACGGGUGAGUAACGCGUAGGUAACCUGCCUGGUAGCGGGGGAUAACUAUGGGAAACGAUAGCUAAUACCGCAUAAGAGUAGAUGGUGCAUGACAUUUGCGUAAAAGGUGCAAUUGCAUCACUACCAGAUGGACCUGCGUUGUAUUAGCUAGUUGGUGGGGUAACGGCUCACCAAGGCGACGAUACAUAGCCGCCCUGAGAGGGUGAUCGGCCACACUGGGACUGAGACACGGCCCAGACUCCUACGGGAGGCAGCAGUAGGGAAUCUUAGGCAAUGGACGGAAGUCUGACCGAGCAACGCCGCGUGAGUGCAGAAGGUUUUCGGAUCGUAAAGCUCUGUUGUAAGAGAAGAACGAGUGUGAGAGUGGAAAGUUCACACUGUGACGGUAUCUUACCAGAAAGGGACGGCUAACUACGUG
rnacentral:rRNA from 1 species